GGGCCAGUAGCUCAACGGUGGAGCAAGCGCCUCUUAAGCGCGAGGCUGAGAGUUCGAGUCUCUCCUGGCCCA
rnacentral:tRNA from 1 species